rnacentral:RNase_P_RNA from 1 species
UCCGGACACCGUCCCCCACUUACCUUGACAUUAAUCGUCGAUAAUUUAUGUCAAAGUAAGUGGGGGAGAGAGAUAGUCGCUAACAGCGACGGGGAGUAAGCAUUUCUGUUUGUGUGUUGUGUCUUCCGUUUACGCGGAAGGUGCAGCUUUAAUCGAACAUCAAGUGACCAAGCCCACGGACAGUGCAACAGAAACAUACCGCCGAUCCCCCACUUACUUUGGCAUGAAUUGGUUUUGAUGGUAGAUAAAAAUGCGAGAGAUUUAUGCCAAGGUAAGUGGGGGAGGCAAGGGUUAAAUCGUGAGGUAAGAGCUCACGCAGGACAGCCCGGUGACGGGCGCUGGGGAAAACACCUAUCCGGUGCAAGGCCAAAAACAGCCGCUUGAGGUUUUGAGCAAUCAAAAUCCUAGAUAGAUGACUACCGCUUGCCCAAUCAAAAGUUGGGCAAGGCACAGAAUCCGGCUUACAGUUACUCGGAUAAA